GUUUUGUCGCAAAAGUGAGUUACAUUUCCUUGUGAAACUUGACAUAAACGAGGUUGAACACGAUCUUUAACAUUAUUCGCGAAGUGUUGGAAAUCUUAAGCAAUAGUUGCCAGAAACAAAUAUGCCAGGCGGUGGCGCGGGAGACGCGCUGGACGUGUUGCGGGCGGCGGAGCAGAGUGGGACGGGUUCUAUGAUCUCGGAUGUUGCGGAGAACGCGGAGUGGAUGGCGAAGCGACUGGUGUGGAUCCCCUCGGAUAAGAACGGAUACGAAGCAGCGUCCAUCAAACAAGAUCUGGACGACGACAAAUAUAAGGUGCAGCUGGCUCAGGGCGGAGAGACGAAGGUGAUCUCGAGGGAUGAUGUGAGCAAAAUGAACCCACCCAAGUUCUCCAAGACAGAGGACAUGGCCAAUCUGAGUAACCUGAACGAGGCCUCAGUGCUCCACAACCUCAAGGAGAGAUACUUCUCCGGACUCAUCUAUACCUAUUCGGGACUGUUUUGCGUGGUGGUGAACCCGUACAAGAAUCUGCCCAUCUACUCUGACGAAAUAGUGGAGCGAUAUAAGGGCUACAAGCGUCAUGAAAACCCACCCCACGUCUACGCCAUUGCAGACACGGCGUACAGGUCGAUGUUGCUAGACAGAGAAGACCAGUCCAUUUUGUGCACUGGUGAAUCGGGGGCGGGCAAGACAGAGAACACGAAGAAAGUGAUCCAGUACAUAGCCUAUGUGGCAGCCUCCCAGAAGUCGAAACUGAACUCCUCAACUAGUCACACCCUCUCAGCCGGAAAUGCAUUUGCUCAAGGGGAGCUGGAGGCGCAACUUCUUCAGGCUAACCCCAUCCUAGAAGCAUUUGGAAAUGCCAAGACCAUCAAAAACGACAACUCUUCCAGAUUCGGCAAGUUCAUCCGCAUCAACUUCGACCAGGCGGGCUUCAUAGCAGGAGCCACGAUAGAGACGUACUUGCUGGAGAAGAGUAGGGCGGUGAGGCAGGCCCCAGACGAGAGGUCCUUCCACUUCUUCUACCAGUUCCUGUCUGCCGCAGACCACAACACCAUCAUUGAUUCAAGUACCGAUCCUCCUAAGAAGCUACAUGAGUUUCUUCUCGAGGACUUCGCGUCCUACAAGUUCCUGUCUAGUGGUCACGUGACAGUGCCAGGCAUGAACGACCAGCAGGAGUUCAAGGCCACCCUGGAGGCGAUGAAUGUGAUGAAGUUCACGGAGCAGGAGAUCAAAGCGGUGUUCCGAGUGUCCAGUGGAGUUCUGUUGCUGGGCAAUUUGGACUUCACCAUGGACAAGAGCGAGCAAGCCACUCUCACCAAUGACUCGGUUGCCCAAAGAGUCUCCCACCUGUUGGGUGUGAACUGCAUGCACUUCUCAAAUGCACUCCUCAAGCCCAAACUGAAGGUGGGCAGAGAAAUGGUAGUGAAGGCACAGAACAAAACACAAGUGACCAAUACUCUGGAAGCACUGGCUAAAGCCACUUACGAGAAGAUGUUCAAGUGGAUAGUGAUGAGGAUCAACAAGAGUCUGGACAAGAAUAAACGACAGGGAGUGUCUUUUGUCGGCAUCUUGGACAUCGCAGGAUUCGAGAUCUUCCAGGACAACUCGUUUGAGCAGCUGUGUAUCAACUACACGAAUGAGAAGCUGCAGCAGCUGUUCAACCACACCAUGUUCAUCAAGGAACAGGCAGAGUACCAGGCAGAGAACAUCGACUGGCACUUUGUAGACUACGGACUGGAUCUGAAACCAUGCAUUGACCUUCUCGAAAAGCCGAUGGGUGUGUUCACACUGCUGGACGAAGACUGUCUGAUGCCUAACACGACUGACAAGAGCUUCGUGGAGAAGCUAGUGGCCAACCACAAGGAGUCCCCCAUCUUCAAGAAACCCCCCAGGUCCAACGAGUACCAGUUCAACAUCAAGCACUACGCGGGCAUGGUGACGUACAACUCGAACCAGUGGAUCCAGAAGAACAGUGACCCCCUGAAUGAGAACAUAGUGGAGCUGCUUAAGGCCUCCUCCGAUCCAUUUGUGAAAUCGCUCUGGCAAGACACAACAAAUAUAAUGAACAGCGUGAGUUCGGGAGGAGCUGCGGACACUCCCUUCGGGGCGACGAGGACCAGGAAGUCUGGCAUGUUCAGAACUGUAGGCCAGUUCUACAGGGAACAGCUGAACAAACUGAUGAAUACAUUGGAGAACACUAACCCCAACUUCGUGAGAUGUAUUAUUCCCAACUACAAGAAAAAGGCGGGAGAGAUCAACGCGCCCCUGAUUCUGGAUCAGCUGAGGUGCAAUGGAGUGGUGGAGGGUAUCCGCAUCUGCAGACAGGGAUACCCCAACAGGAUCCCCUUCCAGGAGUUCAGGACCAGAUAUGAGAUACUCUGUCCAGGGGUACUGCAGAGAGAGUUCAUGGACGGGAGGGCAGCCGCCAAAAUGAUGCUGGAUAAUCUGGAGCUGAAGGAAGGUCUGUACAAACUAGGAUCGAGUAAGAUCUUCUUCAAGACGGGAGUGCUGGCUCAACUGGAGGAGGAGAGAGACCACAAGCUCACUGAUCUCAUGAUAGAGUUCCAGGCAUACUGUAGAGGAAUACUGGCCAGGAAGGCUUUCUCUAAGCGUGUGGAGGCGCACAAGGCCAUCCGCAUCCUGCAGAGGAACUUUGCAGCCCACUUGAAGAUGCGCCAGUGGGACUGGUGGAAGCUGUACGUGAGGAUCAAGCCACUCCUAGGAGUGAACAGACAGGACGAGGAGCUGAGGGCCAAAGAGGGGGAGUUGAAACAGGUGGCGGAGAAGCUGGACAAAACACAAUUAGAACUCACGGAUACGACGAAGCGUCUCAGUUCGCUCGAGGAAGAGCGAAAUACCCUGACUGAGAAAUUAGCUGUAGAGCAGGAGACGGCAGCGGAGGCUGAGGAGCAGAAGAGUAGACUGAAGACGAUCACGGAGGAGCAGACACAGUACAUUGAGGAGCUGCAGAUGAGGAUGGAGGAAGAGGAGGAGAAGGUGUCCAUGGCAAAGAAGGAGAAGGCCAAGUUGCAGGAACACCUCAAAGACCUGGAGGAACAACUCGAAGAGGAAGAAGGCAAACGUCAGAAAUUCGAGAUCGAAAAGAACUCGCUGGACCAGAAACUUCGCAAAUUGGAAGAAGACAUCGCACAGAUGGAAGACUCCAACCAGAAGUUGAGCAAGGAGAAAAAGAUCCAGGAGGAGCGACUGGCUCAGAUCUCCCAGAAACUGACUGAAGAAGAAGAAAAGGUGAAACAGUUGACUAAAUUGAGGAACAAAAACGACGUGUCAAUCAAGGAGCUAGACGAAAAGAGUAGCAAAGAGGAAAAAUUAAGAAAGGAGUUGGAGAGUUCAAAGAGAAGGUUGGAGCAAGAGGUCAAUGACCUUAGAGGACAAGUGGAGGAUUUGACAGUGCAGCGGGAGGAUCUGGCCACGCAACUGAGGUCACGAGAGCAAGACAUCACAACCAUUUCGGGUAAACUAGACGACGAAACAGCCUCUAGAUCUGCACUUCAGAGGCAAGUCAGGGAGCUGGAGGCUAAAGUGUCCGAGUUGAAUGAAGACAUUGAGAUGGAAAAAGAGUUGAAAGCAAAGCUGGAAAGACAGAAACAAGAUAUUGUGGAGGAACUGGAGACUUUGAAGACGGAGAUGGAAGAAGCUGCAGACAAGGAGCAGUCUGCGGCCCAAGUGAGAAUGUCACGUGAGUCGGAGCUAGUAACAGCAAGGAACCAGCUGGCAGAACAGGCCAAACAGAACGAACAGUCCCUGGCAGAUCUGAAGUCACGUCAUGCAAAGAUCCAGGAUGAGUUGAACGACAAGAUAGACCAAGUCACAAAAGCCAAACAGGUGGCAGAGAAAGCGAAGGCGGCUGUUGAGUCCCAGCUGGAACAGACAUCGGAGGAGCUGAAGAGUGUGCAACAGUCCAAGGCAGAAGUGGACAAGGCCAAGAAGAAGCUGGACACCCAGUUGACGGAGGAGAAGGCCCGAAAUGCAGAUGCCAACAGGGUCAUAGAGUCACACUCGGGAAAGAUCGUGUCACUGCAGAAAGAGUGCGAGGCUCUGCAGGAACGCCUGGACUCCACUGAGACCCAGCAGAGCAGUGACAAGAAGCUUGCCAGUAAAUUGGAGGCAGACCUGAACGAGACGAGUCAGCUGCUGGAACUGGAGACGAAGAGCAAGUUGGAACUCCAGACAAAACUGAGGUCAGCGGAGGCGGAGUUGAACAUGUCCAAUGAGAGAUAUGAAGACCUGGAGAACAGUUACAAUGUGUUGGAGAAGAAACAUCGAGAUCUUCUGGUCGAGAAUGACUCUCUGAGCAAGAAGGUGGACGACUACGUGCCCAUCAUAGAGAUGCUGGAGGAGACCAAGAGGAAGGCGGAGAAGAGUAGAGACGAGGCCUUCGACCAGAUCGAGGAGCUCAGGGCACAACUGGACAAGUCGGACAAGACCAAGAAACGAUACCAAGCUGAGGUGGAAGACGUGAACAACGAACUGGUCACUCUGAGAGCCAAAGUGUCCGACCAGGAUAAGAAGAUUGGCAAGUUCAACCAGCAUCUGCAAGAAGAAGUGAACAAGGCUAAGACAUUGCAAGAUGCUAAAGAGCAAAGUGAAGCUCAGCUGAGAGACAGAGAAUCGAAGCUUCUGAACCUGCAACGCAACCUUGACGAGAGAAUGGAAGAGAUGCAAGACCUGGAGCGACAGGUGAAGUCUCUGAAGAACGACCUGGACUCCCUCUCCCAGACCCAGGGGGAGACAGGGAAGACGGCCAUGGAGGCGGAGAAGGCCAGACUGGCGCUGCAGAGGGAGGUGGAGAGGCUGAACGAGGAGAUACUAGCCAUGGAAGAAGAUCUCACCCAACACGAGAGGGAUGCGACGAGCGCCACAACGGAACUGGCCGCAAAGAAACUCGAGUUCGAGCGAGCUCUGGCUGCGAAGGACCAGGAAGUGGAGGACAAGAAACGGGAAGCAUCGAGGAAACUGCGAGCACUAGAAGAAGAGUUGGACGAGGAGAGAAGGGCGAAGCAGACUGCGAUUGCGGGCAAGAAGAAGAUGGAGAGUGAGUUGCAGGAACAUGCAGAUGCGAUUGAGGCUGCUCACAGAAGCAAAGAGGAGUUCGCCAGACAGAUCAAGAAGUACCAGAACCAACUGCGUGAGGUGCAGACUGAGAAGGAGAUGGCAGUGAGUGAGAGUGUGGAGAGUCAGAACCAGAGCAAGGAGUUGACUAACAAGUUGAGGACCCUGGAGGCGGAGAUGGCCCAACUGCAGGAGGAUCUGGCCAACGGGGAGAGGGCCAAGAAGGCGGCCGAGAAGGCCAGGGACGAUCUCAUGGAGGAGAUGGAGGCUAAUGCCAACAACAAGGGCUUGGGCGCGGAAGAGCGUCGCCGAUUUGAGACGAAAGUGGGCGAGCUGGAGGAGGAGGUGGAGGACCUGCAGGGAUCCCUGGAGUCUAUGACUGGGGAGAAGCAGAGAGUGAACCAGCAGUUGUUGACUGUGCAGGAGGAACUGUCAUCUGCCAAUGAGGAGAAACAGAAACUGGAGUCUGCCAAGUCUGCACAGGAUAGGACUGUGAGAGACUUGAAGGCGAAGUUGGCAGAGAUAGAAGACAACCAGGCGAAGAAGACCAAGGCAGGCCUCCAGGCACUAGAGGCCAAGAAUGCCGCUCUAGAAGAACAGGUGCGUCUUGCGGAAGAGGAGAAAACGAACUUGACGAGAACGAACCGCCGGCUGGAGCGGAAGGCGAAGGAGCUGGCAGUGAGUGUGGAGGAGGAGCGGCAGAAGGCGUCGCAGAGCAAAGACGCCGCGGACAAACUGAACAGGAAGACACGAGUGAUGCGGGAUGAAAUGACUAAACUGGAGGAGGAUCUGAGCACGGAGAAGACGAACAAGAGGAGAGUGCAGCGCGAUUUGGACGACCAAGUGGAGGCGAAUGAGACUCUGACCAAGGAGUUGAACACCCUCAAAGCCAAGCUCAGUAGUGGCAAGAAAGGCGGAAAGCUAUGACAUGGAACAGUACAAUUGGAGUCGGAAGCGCCUCUCGAGCCAGGAGAACCAGACUUCCCUCUGACCCUGAAGACGCGGACGGAACAGACUAAAUUAUGCAUAACAAGUCACCAAAUUGCAUGCAUUGGCACCGCCACAGUUGUGUUUAAAUUCCCUCCUUUCUUCUUGAGUGGCAACGAUCACGUGAUAUCUUGCGAUGAUUGCUACUCCUCGCUUGUCUUUUGGGACAACAGCGAGACUAAUCUUCAGACUACCUUGUGCUAUUUGAAACUAAUAUAUUCGAUUAUUUUGUAAAUCCAGUUCGGUUAGAUGUUGAACAACUUAAUAAUUGCAUCAUUUGCUUCAGUAGGUAAAAAUAAACUAACAAAUUCUUUUUAUGUUGUCACCAUACACUGCUUCGAUCAUUUCCAAUUUAUACUCUGAUCUGAUUUCUGUUCACGCCAAGAAAACUCAAAAAAGUAAUGAUGUAAAUUAUCGUGUACAAAUGUGCUAGUUUCGGAAUUUUUCGACAUUCCACUGUUUUUGAAACCUAACAUAGUCUAUUUUUCACAAGUAUUGAGUAAUCCGAAGCCCUCUAUCGAUGUUUAAACUUCUUGCCAGUUUUGUGGAGAACUGUUGUAUCAAAAAUCAAUUGAUCCUUGCUGAAAAUUUGGUUUUUCAUCAAAAACAUCUGAAUGAAGUGGACGCCUCUUUGAUACAACUGUUUUAUUAGUUGAAAUUAAAUGUUUAAAAAUGUACAUUUUUUAUUGUGGUUUGAAGUCUUGAGAUAAAAACAACAGAUGUUUUUGCGACUGCAUGCUCCUGACGAAUUAACCCUUCAACUCGUGUGAUUAAGCGUCAACAAGAUGAGCAGAUUGAAAGUCUUAUUCUCGCCCAAACCUUCCACCCGGGAGGAGCCGCGGGAACCUCUCUCAACGCAACCCCGAACGACCCGCUCAAACUGACGGCAAUG